rnacentral:rRNA from 1 species
UACGUAGGGCGCAAGCGUUGUCCGGAAUCAUUGGGCGUAAAGCGCGUGUAGGCGGCCGAGUAAGUCUGCUGUGAAAGUCCAGGGCUCAACCCUGGGAUGCCGCAGAUACUGCUUGGCUAGAGUACGGGAGGGGCGAGUGGAAUUCCUGGUGUAGCGGUGGAAUGCGCAGAUAUCGUUUGGAACGCCAAUGGUGAAAACAGGUUGCUGGGAGUGUGCUGACGCUGAGACACGAAAGCCAGGGGAGCGAACGGG